AUUGAACGCUGGCGGCAGGCCUAACACAUGCAAGUCGAACGAGUGGCGGACGGGUGAGUAAUGUCUGGGAAAAUGCCUGAUGGAGGGGGAUAAAUACUGGAAACGGUAGCAAAUACCGCAUACCAUCGGAUGUGCCCAGCUGGGCUUAGCUAGUGGGGGGGGUAAAGGCUAACAUAGGCGACGAUCCCUAGCUGGUCUACGCGGAUGACCAGCCAAACUGGAACUGAGACACGGUCCAGACUCCUACGGGAGGCAGCAUUGGGGAAUAUUGCACAAUGGGCGCAAGCCUGAUGCAGCCAUGCCGCGUGUAUGAAGAAGGCCUUCGGGUUGUAAAGUACUUUCAGCGGGUAGGCGUUACCCGCAGAAGAAGCACCGGCUAACUCCGUGCCAGCAGCCGCGGUAAUAC
rnacentral:rRNA from 1 species